rnacentral:lncRNA from 1 species
CGAGUAAUCACCCACAUGGAAGUUGGUAUCUAAGAACGUGGGUAGGCUCUUGCUGCUCAGCAUCUAGCAUCUGAUGGCAAACCCCACCUAAAAGCUCUCAAACUAGUCUUUCAUUGCCUCAAGGACCAGGUUGUUCAACCUAGUAGUUUUCAAGUUUUUGGUAUGAGUUUGAGUGGCCCUGAGGUCACCAGGGACUGCUUGUCUUCUCUCCUGGAACUCAGGAGUGACUUUCUCCAGAUGGCUUGAUCUGCCCCCAUAUUGUAGACACCACAGAGCCAAUUCUCACUGCACACUGACACGCUGAGUGAUGAGAGAGUCAGCCCUUCUCAAAGGACAAUUUCCUGCCACAGCCGGCAACAUGGUCUGUGUGAUCCUUUGACUCAGACUCUCUGCUAGAGGGUGAUGAGGUGUGAAGAUGACAGUUUGCAUAUGGUUUCCACCCACAGAUUCCUGAUCUUCAGCAGGACCAGUGCACGGUUUGUUGUCAGAGAGCUGGAAUCUCUCAAGCAUCCCUUUGAGAACAAUUGGUGUGUGGCUCCCAUUUGUGCAGUAGAGAUUGGAAAUGCCACCAAAGUUGCUUCAGAGGGUUGGGGGAAGAUAUUGGAUAGCUGCUCCAGAGACUCCAGAUUACAGGCUAUCUGACAAGCUGACAUUCAACAAAUCCUUCACAGAGCAAGAUGCCUCAGAAGUUAUAAAGAAAGAUGACAGCAUCUCUCUGCUCAAGGAUUUUGAAUCCAAAAAGAGGAACAAACAGAAGACGAAAGACACAAUGACAAGGCAAGCGCAUUUGUCAUCCAAGGAGCAAACAACACCAGUAUUGUGUUUGCUAAGUCAUGAAUUUUCCCUCCGUUGGAAUGUCCUAGGAAUUGCCCAGACACCUACCUGCCUUGCUUAAUCAGGCUGUCUUCCCUAGAUGCAAAAGGAUAAAUAUUUCCUGUUGUCAUUAUCUAAUUACCGGAUGAUGCCAACAAGAAACAGUGACUGAGCGCCUAACCUGCACCAGGCUCCGUGCUGGGAAGUUAACACCAGAGAGAACAAAUCCCAGCCUCCACCUUAGGAGGCAUCUCCAUCUGGCUUUUGCUGCUGCAACUGAAUAGCACAGCCUGAGAAGUUGAAAAAGAACAGCGGUGUAGUUGCUCUCGGUUCUGAAGGCUGAGAAGUUCAAGUUCAGGCUGCUGCAUCCGGUGAGGUCAUUCUCACGGGUGAAGACUCUGCAGCACCCCUGGGCAGUUCAGGGCAGCCCGUCCUAGGCAGGAACCCCAGCUCAGCUCUCUCCUCCUCUUCUUAUAAAGCCACAGUCCCAUUGGACCAGGGCUCUGCUAUUUUGGCCUCAUUGAACUCUAAGGACUUCCCAAUGGCCCCACCUCUGUAUACCGCAGCCAGGUGAGCUGUCUGUCCCUUCAGACCUCACAAUGGGGGAUCCUACUCAGCCAUAAAAAAAAAAAGAAUGAAACCCUGCCUUUUACAACAGAAUUUUAAUGCAACUGGAGACCAUUUUGCUUAGUGAAAUAAGCCAGUCGCCAAAAGACAAACGUGACCAUGAAUCGAUGAAACAUGAGAUGUGCUUAACACCCUGAGUCUGGAUCAACCCUGUCCAGUUCCUGAAUAGGCUGGAUCAGAACUCUGUCUUCAUGCAACUGUGAAGUGUCACACCUCUGGGAGGCUCUGGGGGAGAAUAGGGGGCUGUACAGGGUCAGCUCCCUGCUAAUGUACCUGGGAAAGCGGUGGAAGACGACUGGAGAACUUGAGCCCCUCUGAUACCCAUGUGGAUGAAGUGUCUGGAUCCUGGCUUCAGCCUAGCCCAGUCCUGGUUGUUCUGGCCAUUAGGGAGGUGAACCAGUGGAUGGCAAAUCUCUCUUUCUCCCUCCCUCUCUGUAUCACUCUGCCUUUCAAAUAAAUAAUCUUUUUAAAAAAGGUGUGUUGUUUUA